CAUUUAUCUUCAAAUCAAACAAAAAUAUGAACAGAUUUUUGUCUGUAUGGCCAUCAGAUAAAAUAAAUGUUUUGAAGUAACUACGCCACAUUAAAUUUGUAAAAAUAAUAAUCCAACAAUGGGUUGUCUGAUUUGUUAGAAAAUUUCAGGGCAGAUAGAUCCUGACCUGAUACAUGUAUAGUUUAACCGAUGUAAGAUUAGCUCUCAAUGCUUUGGUUUCAGAGAUUUAAGCCAAAAUCUACAUUAUAUCCUAUCUUCUAUUUUUAGCCUCAGCUGCCAUCUUGGUUGCCGGAUGGGAUCAUUGACACAUUUUAUAAACUAGAUACGUGUAUCUUAAUGAUGAUUAUUGCCAAGUUUGGUUAAAUUU
rnacentral:lncRNA from 1 species